rnacentral:lncRNA from 1 species
AUUACCAGCCAUCUUACAUCACUGAGUAUAUUAUGUAGUAGUUCUUAUUCAUUUUGUUUAAUGUUGUUUCUUUUUCAAAAGAAAGUUUGAUUAUAACUCUAAUGGAGUUUGUAAGAAAUUACACUUGCAUGAAGUGGUAAAAUUUCUAUGCCUUGCCGUGAUCAAAUUUAUGUAUGAUGGUGGGCAAAGAAUUAAAAAUCCGUCCAAUUGAAUUUGCUCCAUUCCCUUUAGAGAAUGUGGUA